rnacentral:misc_RNA from 1 species
AAACUAAUGGACGUAAUGGAUCCUGGAAGAGCAAAAUAUCAAAAGGAUUAAAAUUAAAAUGUUCAAACCAAAAUGUAGCAUGGAAAUACUUAACAUCCAUUGAAAAGCCCAAUCCCAUCAGAGGCUAAAAUGGUAAAGCUUUAGGAAAAAUUUUCUAGGCCACAGUUAUUUAGAACCGUAACCAGACAAUUUUUGAAUUCAAGAUCCUCCAGUAGUCUAACUUAAAAAAUAAUCCAGUCAAAAUACGAUUUCCCCCACUGAUUGGGUCAACACUUAAAUAUUCUGCGUCAUUACACAGGACACAGAUUAAAUGGUUCAUUUUCAGCUAGCUAAUUCAUUAUCUCAGCAAAGUUUUGGAUAUUUGACAGAGUGCCAACACGGAGCAAAUGUGACCUUUCACAGAGGCAGGAUUUCAUGUGCAGAAAGAUAUGAACAAUGCAAAAUCUAAUGUUGUAUUCUAAUAAAUUCACCUUGAAAACUGCCAUAAUACCUCAUCAAGGAAGAAACUG